rnacentral:lncRNA from 10 species
CCCAUCUGGGCUACUAUAACCACAUGGACCAUCCCUUGCUUCAAUCAUAGAAUUCUUUCUUCAGAUCAAAGUAUAUUCAGACACUCGAUACAGUAACAAAAGCAAGCUAUCCUGGAAGGAAGAAGGAAUCAGGAGGCAGAGCACAUGGUUAAAGCAUGAGAUGUGAAACCAGGAAGAACCAGGUCUGAACCUUAGCUCCACCAGUGGUAGCUUCAAACCUUGGUCCUUUCUGAGCCUGCUUCUUCAACCGUAAGGUGUGACUACACUGAGCAGUAACAGCAAAACCUGAAAGAGAAUGGAUACAGGUGUUCAUUUCAGAUGGUACAAGUUUAACAAAGUACAAGAGCAACUUAAGGUUUGACACAAAAACUCUAAGCAUAUAUUUAAAUCCUAGUAUUUCAUCCAGAAAACACCACAGCAUAACUGAGAGCACUGGAGGCAGAAAUAAUUCAGUUUAGAUCCAUGGAUUGCUUGCUAUUUACUGUGUGACUCUGGGUAGCCACUUACUUUAAAUCUAUUUUUCCCACUUAUAGAAAGGUAAUGAUGACCACUUGUUGGAAAACUUGAGGGUAAUACUUGUAAAGGUCAUAGUAAGACCCAACAACUUGGGCCCAACACCUGGUAGGCACAAAGUCUGUUCUGCUUCCUUUCCCUUUCUGUAGAGAAAUGCACAGGAUAUUCCUUAUAUGCCACUUAUGUUAUGGGAUUGACAUAGGUUUUGUCCCUCAUGCUAUGGGAUUGAUUAGGUUUU